CCAUUCUCGUCAGCGUUUCACACAGCAAGUGUUUCGUCAGCUUUUCACAUUGCAGCUGUGCACGUGAACACGUGUUCACACCGAAUUUUACCGCACCACGCCAUCCUGCUCGCUUACCUCUGGCGCCAUGGCUCCCCGCGCCACGCUCCUGCUCUUCCUCCUCGUCGGGCUGCUCGUCGUCCACCUUUUGACCUUUGUUUCACUGCGACGCACACUACACAGUGCAUUUGUGUUCACACGACUCUCCACAUCUUCUUCAGUCCCGCAAUCCUGUAGCGCGUGGAGCGCCCAUGAAAGCAUGCAGUCUCUGCUCUUUUUGUCCGUGUUCAUGCUGAUCUCUUUGUCAUCCCGUUCAUACUGAAACUCGCCGUCCUCUCCUUGCUCUUCAUCUACCACCCCUCGCCGCAUUCGUUGCUUCGUGCUCGUCGUGCCCGUGAUCUUCGCGGCCGGCUCCCCAAGCGUUCCAGAGCAUGAACGACGUUUUUCCCCACACCUCUCGGCCUCUGGUUUUCCCUCAGAUCCAUCCAGUGCAGUGCAGGCAUCGGCGGCGGCGCUUCGCAGGCCCCGGCUCCUCCCUCGCGGCCGGCUAGGCGGCAGCCAUCGCUCCUGACGUGCGUCCUCCUCCCUCACGUCGUCGUCGUCACCGCCGCCCGUCCCCUUCCCCACACCGCGCCACUGCUACCGUCCGCACCCUUCCCCCCGCACCGCCGUCGCAGCCACAGCCCGCACCACCGCUGGCACCUGUGCGGCUCGCCGCGGCGAGGCACGGGUAGCCCCGCCGUUUCCACCAAACACCGCCUCCUACCGUCCCGUCCUUCCACGCCUUGCCCGAGUUCUUGGCAGUGGCGGCGCGCACGGCGCUGGUGACGCUGCUGCUCGCCAACGGCGCCGCCUUUUGCCUCGUCGCCGCCGCCGCCGUGCGCCUCCGCCUCGACCCGCCCUGCAUCAUCUGCGCCGGCGUCCACUGCCCUGCACCGCCUCCACUCUGGCCGCAGCGUCAUCGGUGUCGGCCGCAGCGUCCAUCGAUUUGCAGAUGCCGAUGAGCAGGGCGCCAUCACUGGCAUCCGUCCUAGCGACCUCGACGGCCUCUAGGACAAGACUUCCGCCACCCGUAGGAGCCGCCACGCCACCUCCUGCGCUCCUCCGUCACGGCGGCUGCCUCUCUACUACGAAGUUUCAUAGGCCCGUCACACCCAUACUGUCCCCAACUCCUGACAUGUCUGAAUACCUCUGUUCUUCUUUGCCUUCUGCACUUGCUUUCUUCCUCCUCCGGCCAUUUUGGUUUUUUCGACUUCAUUCGCGUUUGGGUGCCGCUGCUGGUGCGCUCUUAGCUACACCCUUUCCUUUUAUUCUGUGUUUGAUCCUUCGGUUCAUGAAGAGUUCCUGCAUAUCGCGCGGAUCUAGGAGUUUUGCUGCAAGUUUCUCCGUCCAGUGCCAGAUCUAGGAGCACUCUCAUCUCCUCCUUGGUGUCGCAGGCAAACAAGAAUCUAGAUUCGUUCUGUAGGUUUGUAGGAUCCUCAACUGCCACUGAUAUUCCAAGUGUGAAAAUGUUGACAAGUUAUGCAUUCUCUUGUCUUGCUGAUCAUAUGUAUGGCCUGCCAUGGAAGGCUUCUUGUCCCAAUGAUGACCUUGCACAUGUCCUGCAAUUUACUCAGGUGACCAUUUGCAUGUGUUCUGCAAUUUACUCCAGUUUCAUGUGAUGUGGUCUUGCGUCUUUUCCAGAUUAUAUUUAUCUGUUCAUUAGUAGGUAAUUAGAUUUAUUUAUUAGUAUUUUAUUUCUUCCAAAAUACCUACCUACCAAAUCUGGUAGGGAUCCUAACUUCUUGGUAAGUUUCCAUAUCAACAACCAUUAGAUCAUCAAAUUCAGAUUUCAUUACUCUUGCAUGAUCUUUAACUUAACUAUAGUGCUCAUACUUUGUUCAUUAUACCAUUACAGGCCACAAUUUCACUUUCAAAGAUGGCCAUGUAAACAACUAGCCAAUAACAUUAAAGUUGGUCAAUUGCUACCAUCAUUUACUUGCCACACAUAAGGAAAUGCAUGCAGUUUAGAGCCGCCACAUCCCUUUUAGUUCAGGUCCUGAUUCCUUCCAUGAUAACCUUAGUCCUUAGCAAAUGCUAUGGAGUCUACAUGGUUCAGAUUUGAGUCUGCAUUAUUUAAUCACUUUAUGGCAUUACCUUACCAGCUGCUUCACCAGCCACUGAAUUAUGGAACAGCAUCCAGUUGUUAAUCUAUCUUGUUUUGAUGGUACGUUUACCAUAGUUCUUAAGGCGUCGCCUCGUCGUCGCCUAGGCGUCGCCUAGUCGUCGCCUCGUCGUCGCCUAGGCGUCGCCUAGUCGUCGCCUAGGCGAUGAGGCGCUCCAAGGCUCCAAGGCGUCCUGGACGCCUUGCCUAAUUCAUGUCAGGAAGGGAUGGAGGGAGGGAGAAGGGAGAAAGAGGACGAAAACCGAUCAGCGAUAGCAAGAUGAUGUUGUACCUGCCAUCUCCGACAGUGCUGCGCCUGGGCAGCACCGCCUCCGCGCCGUCCGGCAGGGAGGAGGAGCGGCGGCGCCAUAGCUCCAUCUGGGGGUGGCCGCGGCAGGGAGGAGCGGGGGCACUGGUGCUCCAUCUGGGGGUGGCCGCGGCAGGGAGGAGGACUAGCGGCGCUGGUGCUCCGUUGGGGUGGCCGCGAAGGGAGGAGCGGGCGAGUGGCGGCGCACAACGAGAUAGGGUAGGGGGGAGCGGGUGGGCUGACGGGAGGAGAUGAGUAGUUUGUGGGCUGGUAGUGAUUUGGUGGGCUGGGCCUUACAUUCUUCCUGGGCCUUUUCUCUUUUCUUUCUUCUUUUCUCAUUUCUUUUCCCCUUUAUACUGCUAAUUAUACUGCUAAUAUUCUGCUUUUACGUUGGUGUAUGGCGUCGCCUCGCCUCGCCUAGGCGUCGCCUAGGCGUCCAGAGGAGGUAGGGCGCCACACCUCGCCUCAACGCCUUAAGAACAUUGACGUUUACACAAAUCAACUAGCUACACCAACUUCUUAUACAUUUCCAUACUAUGCUAACAUAAUUUUUCCACGUACUAACUUCCUGCAGGGGAUGCCUCUCUAACACCAGAGAAAAAAAAACAGAAAUUAAGCUUCUGUAUGCUACCUAAACUAACAUCUUUUCUUUGUUGAGCAUCAUUUUCUGCAGGAUGAAACAAGCUGACAGGAGCAGUCAUCUGUGGAAUCAGAUUUCGUCCAUUUUGUACAUUAUGUAGGCACCUCCUUAAAAUACCAUCGAGGACCGCAUAUUCAGCAACUUAGCUUACCAUGUAACCAUCAUUUCCUUUAGUGUGCCUGCUGAUGUUAAACAUGGUUACCAGCUGCCAUGACUUCUACCUGUUUGCACUUAACUUUCUAGACCUUGUGCUAUAUAUAACCUUAUUUCCUAUUCUAUCUUCUUGUAGUAGUACCUGUGUGGUUUAUGUCAUUUACGGUCAAUGAGCUGAUGAACCUUAUGUA